UACAGAGGGUGCGAGCGUUGUCCGGAAUUAUUGGGCCUAAAGCAUCCGUAGCCGGUUUUACAAGUCCUCCGUUAAAUCCAGCUGCUUAACAGAUGGGCUGCGGAGGAUACUAUAAGACUAGGAGGCAGGAGAGGCAAGCGGUACUCAGUGGGUAGGGGUAAAAUCCGUUGAUCCAUUGAAGACCACCAGUGGCGAAGGCGGCUUGCCAGAACGCGCUCGACGGUGAGGGAUGAAAGCUGGGGGAGCAAACCGG
rnacentral:rRNA from 1 species